rnacentral:rRNA from 1 species
ACUGAACGCUGGCGGCAUGCCUUACACAUGCAAGUCGAACGGCAGCACGGGUGCUUGCACCUGGUGGCGAGUGGCGAACGGGUGAGUAAUACAUCGGAACAUGUCCUGUAGUGGGGGAUAGCCCGGCGAAAGCCGGAUUAAUACCGCAUACGAUCCACGGAUGAAAGCGGGGGACCUUCGGGCCUCGCGCUAUAGGGUUGGCCGAUGGCUGAUUAGCUAGUUGGUGGGGUAAAGGCCUACCAAGGCGACGAUCAGUAGCUGGUCUGAGAGGACGACCAGCCACACUGGGACUGAGACACGGCCCAGACUCCUACGGGAGGCAGCAGUGGGGAAUUUUGGACAAUGGGCGAAAGCCUGAUCCAGCAAUGCCGCGUGUGUGAAGAAGGCCUUCGGGUUGUAAAGCACUUUUGUCCGGAAAGAAAUCCUUGACUCUAAUACAGUCGGGGGAUGACGGUACCGGAAGAAUAAGCACCGGCUAACUACGUG